AUGGACAUGACCAGCGGCUGGCUCGGCUUCUCCUUGUCUUCCUCCUCUUCCGCCGCCAGGGGCUACGACGCCGGCGAGGGAGCGGGGUGCGAUGGCGGUGACGGUGGCUCUUGCUCGUCGCCCACCGCGGCGGCGGCGCCUUCUUCGCCCAUCGUGGGCGUGCCGUUGCACUCUGGCGGCGGCUCUGUGCAGUACGAUGGACAAGAUUGGAGGCAUCAGCAUGCAGAAGCCAAAGGCCCCAAGCUGGAGGACUUCCUGAGCGUCGGCUACGGCAACGACAGGAGCAGCGGCAGCAUCUACGACGCCAGCCACGCCGACCAGCUCAAGUACCACCACCACCAGGACGUCCACCACGCCUAUCCAGGCUCGCCCUACUUCCAGGGCAAUGGCGGUGGUGGCGUCGUCAUCGGGCUGGACAUCAACAACGCGCCGCCGCCGUCACACUGCACCGGCCUCCCGGACCACCACUUCAUGCCCGCGCACCAUGGCCAGUACUCGCUGUGCCCGCCGAACCAACAAGCUGCAGGCGCGGGCGCGAUGGCGGCGGCGCCAAUGUACAGCUCCGCGGCGGGCUUCGACGGCAGCGCCAACAUGUCCAUCUCUGGCAUCAAGUCCUGGCUCCGGCAGUCGAUGUACGUGCCCGAGCAGUCGACGUCGGCGAUCCCCCCCUCCGUGCACGCCGCCCCGAGCGAGCCGCCGCUGCCGGCGCCGUGCGUCCCCGUCCCUCGCAAGCUCGCGCAGACCUUCGGGCAGAGGACGUCGCAGUUCCGCGGCGUCACGAGGCACAGGUGGACGGGGAGGUACGAGGCUCACCUGUGGGACAACACCUGCAGGAAGGAAGGCCAGACCAGGAAAGGAAGGCAAGUUUACCUAGGUGGCUAUGACAAGGAGGAGAAGGCCGCGAGGGCUUACGACCUGGCCGCGCUCAAGUACUGGGGUCCGGCGACCCACAUAAAUUUCCCGUUAAGCACCUAUGAGAAGGAGCUGGAGGAGAUGAAGCACAUGACAAGGCAGGAGUUCAUUGCGCACUUAAGAAGGAACAGCAGUGGGUUCUCGAGGGGAGCAUCCAUGUACAGAGGAGUGACCAGGCAUCACCAGCACGGCAGAUGGCAGGCCAGGAUUGGGAGGGUGGCAGGGAACAAGGACCUGUACCUUGGCACCUUCAGUACGCAGGAGGAGGCGGCGGAGGCGUACGACAUCGCGGCGAUCAAGUUCCGCGGGCUGAGCGCCGUCACCAACUUCGACAUCAGCAAGUACGACGUGAAGCGCAUCUGCGCCAGCUCGCACCUCAUCGGCGGGGACCUCGCCUGCAGGCGCUCCCCGACGCGCGACGCGCCGGCGCUGCCCAGCGGCGUGAGCGUCGCCGUCGAGCGCCCCGAGGCCGGCGCGUCCGACAACAGCUCCGACGCCUCGGACGGCCACCGCGGCGCGCACCUGCUGCACGGGCUCCAGUACGCGCACGCCAUGAAGUACGAGGCCGGCGAGGGCAGCAACGGCGGCGGGAGCUGGAUGGCCGCCGCGGCGCGGCCGGUGGCCGGCGUCCCCAGCGCGCACCCGCUCCCGGUGUUCGCGCUCUGGAACGACUGA
rnacentral:rRNA from 1 species